GACGAACGCUGGCGGCGUGCUUAACACAUGCAAGUCGAACGGUGAAGCGAGUGCUUGCACUCGUGGAUCAGUGGCGAACGGGUGAGUAACACGUGAGUAACCUGCCCAUCACUCUGGGAUAAGCACUGGAAACGGUGUCUAAUACUGGAUACGACCAACCCUUGCAUGGGGAGUUGGUGGAAAGAUUUAUCGGUGAUGGAUGGACUCGCGGCCUAUCAGCUUGUUGGCGGGGUAAUGGCCCACCAAGGCGACGACGGGUAGCCGGCCGGAGAGGGUGACCGGCCACACUGGGACUGAGACACGGCCCAGACUCCUACGGGAGGCAGCAGUGGGGAAUAUUGCACAAUGGGCGAAAGCCUGAUGCAGCGACGCCGCGUGAGGGAUGACGGCCUUCGGGUUGUAAACCUCUUUCAGCAGGGAAGAAGCGAAAGUGACGGUACCUGCAGAAGAAGCACCGGCUAACUACGUG
rnacentral:rRNA from 1 species